AUACGGAGGGUGCGAGCGUUAAUCGGAAUUACUGGGCGUAAAGCGCGCGUAGGCGGCUUGUUAAGUCAGAUGUGAAAGCCCUGGGCUUAACCUGGGAACUGCAUUUGAUACUGGCAGGCUAGAGUAUGGUAGAGGGAAGUGGAAUUCCGGGUGUAGCGGUGAAAUGCGUAGAGAUCCGGAGGAACACCAGUGGCGAAGGCGACUUCCUGGACCAAUACUGACGCUGAGGUGCGAAAGCGUGGGGAGCAAACAGGAUUAGAAACCCGAGUAGUCC
rnacentral:rRNA from 1 species